rnacentral:sRNA from 1 species
CGAAGGAGGUUUCACUCACAUCAGUGAUUGCAGGUUCCCAACUGCGGUAAACAUCCGCUGGUCUACUUUUCUCUUCCAGGCCUCGCUCGCCUGCUGGCGGGAUGUUUCAAGAAAGUAAGUAGAUGAUUUCUAAGAUUGCUUCUAGCUUUGCUCUUUUGAAAAGUUGAUGUGCAUACUUAAGUUUUCUAGAAAGAAUCCCACUUGGGCUGCUGAAGCAUGCCGUCUUACUCUGGAAAGCAUAACUAUUACAAUUAGGCGAUAAUUGGUAUUACUUCUUCAGCUGCACCUCACUCAGGAACCAUAAAUUCUUUAUGUAGCUUUAAAGCUAUGAUUAAUAAUUGCACUACUGGGAUGAAGCUCACACUCAGUGGUAGAGUCUACAGACAUUGAACACAUUUAAUAUUCUGGAAAGAAAAGGUUGUUUCCUACAAAGCCAGUAAAUGUAUCCGAAAUCUUGGAUAAAAACAGAAUGAAGAAAAUAAGUCUUGGGGAAUGUUUUUCUAUAACAAUCAAAAGUUUAGAAUCCAUUUUUGGAGAAGUAAAGUAUCAUGGACCGCUAAAAGAGAGUUGCACGGCAGGGUGGGGGAUGGGAAAUCCAGCAUCACACAUGGAUGAUGCAAUGCUGUUGAGGCAGGAUAGACAACUAAGGCUGGUCAUAGUCCUAUCGGUCAGGUCACAACCAGGUCACAGCAUAGCACUUUCCCAGCAAGACCCAAGGACCUUGAACUCAAACAAGACUCACCCUUUAGCUUUUCUCCUACCAGGUUCCUGUGAUUGUUUUUGAUAUUUUUAGUUCCUGUGGGUGUGUGUGCAUGAGUGUGGAGGCCAGAGACCAACCUCAAGUGUUGUUCCGUAGGGGCCAUCUACUCUGCUUUUGGAGACAGCAUCUCGCACUGGGAUCAACAGCUCACUGAUUACGUUAGGCUGGCUAGCCAAUGAGCCUCCCAUCUUUGCCUCCCCAUCUCCGAAACUACAAGCUGGUGUCCUUGCCUGUCUUAUUAUGUGGACUCUGGGGAUGGAACUCAGGCUGUCACAUUUGCACGGUAAGCACUCUGGACUCUGGCACCCCUCCAGCUCCAUUUCUGAGUUCCUUUAGUGCUGUGGCUGCCUGCCAGUUCUCUGAGCCUGAUGUACUACAUGAUAGUCACCAAGCCCUAUUCAUUCUAUGCUUUAGAAACCCAUCUCUUCUGUCUCCAGUCAAUUACGUCAUUUAAACUGUUACCAUGACCUAAGUGAUCUUUCAGUCCCUUCCCUCCUAGCUAAGUCUUCUACUCCGUUUGGUUCUAACACAGAUGAAACCCUGCUGCUUAGGCACAGAAUCUGCUCCUGAGGUGGCUGACCAGAUCUGCAAUUUUAGGCUGAUCUUCUUCUGUUGCUCUCAAGACCACUUGGGAUUCUUCGAACACCUCAGCCUCAUGAUACACAUGCUCCACCCUUUCCAGACAUUUACUUCUCCCUUUUUCUGCUUUCCCCUAGUUAUGAACUCAUCCCCCGCAGCUCCCACAGCCUGUGUUAGAGCAGCUAGCACACUGCUCUGCUUCUAACAAAUCCUUAGGGGUUGAAUGUUCCUGGGUACAAACCUCAGUUCCUCCUUUGUAAAAACCUAGUAACUUGCUUCCCCGUGCUCUGGUCCCUUCAUACAUAGAUACUUCCUAAUUUAUAGGUCUCCCAUCAUUAUUAAAGUUGAUGCAUAUAAAGUAUUUAGGAGGGAGCCUGGCAUAUAACAGAUGCCAAAGAACAAGUAAAAGAAGGGCCACGGAGAGAGAGAGUCUUAAAUAACCUAGACAGUCAAAGCUAGGGAACUCUGCCAAGAAUUUGGAUUAACAGUUAUAUCUUUGUUAAUCAGGAAGUCAAUUCUGUGCCAAGAUCUCCUUCCCCUGAACUCAGAUUCAGGUACAUGUAUGUAUACUUAUGAAUUUUUCAGUGUGUAAAUGGUGAAUAAGCACAUGUCCAGAUUAUCUAGGUGUUUUAUGUAAUAGAUACAUAAAAGGAAAACAGAUGCAUAUAGAAAGGUCUGGAAGGACUAGCAUGGCAGCCUGUAGAAUAUGAGUGCAAGUGUUUUCAUUUUGUGUGAGUGGAAUUUUAUGUUGAGGGAAUGCAGAGAUGGCUCAGUGAUUCGAAGCGCUUGCUGCCCCUGCAGAGGACCUGGCUUCAGUUCUUAGCACAGGACCUGGGUUCAGUUCUCAGCACCCACAUCACAUGGCUUACAAGCAUUUGUAACUCGUGUUCAGGGGAGUGGAGUGUAUGCUUUCCUCUGGUCUUCAUGAGUACCUGAACAUACUGGACACAUACAGACAAGGUAGGUAGGCAGGCAUAUCCAUCAAUAAAAAUUUAAAAAGAAAAUAUAUUUAUCGUGUAUUGCUUUUACCCAUAAGGAAAAUAACAUCAAUCAUUUAAAAAUUUUCCCCUUGGCCCCUGCAGUUGCGACAUGCAGGAGGCUAGUAGGAAAACAUGUUUUAAUCCAGGGGCCAAGGUCAAUAUUGUUCUAAAGCAGUCUGAAAAGGAAGGGCUUUGGAGGUAGAGGAAGGAGAAGGCACAGGUCCAAGUUACCUAGUGAAUUUAUAGGAAAAGGGAAUUCAGGGGAUAACUUUCAGGGCCCAGGUACCCCAUUUCCGAAUGAUGAAAUGUACUUUCGUUCCCUUUGCUGAAAGUGCCCAGCAUGGAAAGAUAGAUUCAAUUCUAGGCCUUGACUUCAUUCUCCUACCCACUUUGGGGAAAUCACAGGAACUCUCCAUUUGCUUCCUCAUCUCAUACAUGGUAAUAAGAAUAAUGGCUUCCCACAGGACUCUGCUGCCUGGGGUCAUUAGAAUGAGCUUUAAGUAUCCAGCCUGAGGCAAAGGCUUGUUCCGAUGACUCUACCAUGCCACAUACUGAGAGGCAUGUGCUUUGCCUCACAAACCCAACUUCUCUGUAAUAGUGACAACUGGAUUGCACAAGGCUGAAAGGUCGACUUUCUCCCCAUGUGCCUUUUCCAGAACCCACAGAGGAGAAAGACUCUUCAGGUCAGUUCUGCUGAGGCUGACAACUGACUGACCCCUCAGCCCAGGCCUGAGGGCUGUGUGUGGUAGGAGGCUGGAGAAGUCUGUGGAGUGUUCUGUUCUUUGCAUCUCGAGACAGACUUAGAUUCAUGAAGCAGAUAUCUCCGUUCGUGUGAGAGGCUGGAACAUAUGCUUGCUUGCUUGCUUGCUUGCCUGAGGGGCUGUGAAUCAAAGGAUGCGUACGGCAGCAUUUGCUUCUCCUUGCCAUCUGGUUUCGGCUUCUCCCGCACCAGGCUGUACAAGCCCUGACACCUGUUAUCGAUCCUCCAGCUGAUCAAAAGAGUUGAGCUACCUGUGCUUGAAAUGUCAAAAGUGAUACAGAGAGCUGGGAUUUUACAGUCUCUUGAGGUAAGAGCAGGCUCUCAGGGACUCAUGAAGAAGCUGUGUGACUCAGACUGUAGAGUGAGUGGCACUCCCUAGCUUCUCCAUUCGCUCCCCUCAUUUCAAUGUACAUGCCAACCAACACUCCAUUUUUAAGACUCAGAGUUGGAAGAGACUACAGAGCUUCCCUUACCCAACCAGGCUCACUUGACAGACGAUGAAAAGUAUAUCCUAAGAGAUGGCACAUCAUGCCAAAUACCAUAUGGUGAAUCAACUCCAACAGAAGAAAAGAAUAACAAAAGCUCACAGAAGAAGUUGGGUCCAUGCCCGUAUCAUGCCCAGGCAUCUGGCCAAAGCAAUUAAUCCUGUGAAAAAUAAUUCUAAAAAACCCAUAGCUUUAUGUGGAAAUUAAAAAAAAAAUACUAAUGUUUGAUCCCCUCCUCUGUGCAUGAAAUUCUGUUCUCUUGCUUGGGGAUUGGCAUUCCUCGAGUACCAUAGACCGCUGUAGUCUGCAGCUGGGAGUGAGAGCCUCAUAGAGUAUAUCGGGAAAACCAGUGGAGCCCAAAGACACAAGAAUGAGUCUGGGCCUUUUCCAGAUCAUCAGUGUGGCCCUGGGCAAGUUGCUUAACUGCUUCUAUCUCAUGUACCCAUUAAUCCUUAGGUCACACAAAACCGAAGUCGAGAUGAAGCAAUGUUCAUGAAAGUGUCUUGCAAACUCUGAAGUGCUGUUGCCCUGGGAGUCCAGACCCUUUAGGGACAGGCGGCGGAACACUUUCCUAGAACUUCUUUUUGAUAUUCAGUCAUUGAAUCCGACUCUGUCAAGUUACUGAGUUUUUACUAGAAAAGGAAUAUUAUGUUAGGUGCUGGUCACAUGACCUUCUACAAAGGUGAAGAUUGAUUACAUCCCUUGGAAGGGGAAGUGGACAUUUGAAUAAGUAGUUAUGAUGAUAAGAAAUAUGGCCACAGAUGAGAACAAAGGAAGAGGUGCCAUGGCUGUGGGACCGAGAUCAGAAAGGAGACAAGAGUCUGCCCAGUCAGUUUUGGGUGGUAAAUACCUGGGAGGGCUGUCCCAAGCUGAGCGUUACACAGGUACCAGGGUGUGCUUGGGGCUGGCUGAGGCCCAGGUAGGGCAGGUUAUCGUUCCAUGUACGAAGGAAGAAAAGCCAUUGUUUCAGAAGAAAGGAAAAACGAACAUUUCUGGCAGGUUUAAAAACCAAACAACUUUACAAAGAUCAGAAUGAUGGAAUUAGCUUUUAGAGACUUAGUUGGCUCUUCCUCCCAGCCACAGGUAAAUGGAAUUUCAAAGUUACGCAGACUGAAGCCCGUUAUUGGCCCCGGACUGAGCAAAGUUAUCAGGUGACCGAAGAAAAGAAACAAUUAGAAACAAUUAGAAACUUUCCUGAUUUAAAGGAAAAUGAAUGGGAAAUAAGUGUGCAGGGACUUAACACAUCUAUAGAGUGUGUUUUUUUUUUUUUUUCUCGCUCCUUUUAAGUGUUUCUAGCAGCCUUGACACUUAUAAGACUUAAAAAUAAUUAGGAAUAGUUGGGGUUUCAGACUCUGGAAAAGCUUAUAAGAAAUGCCUAGUGAGGAGCAUCAAGUAACACAGCAGACAGGAAAGGUUGAAGAGCUUCAAGCCCAUUAGAAUUUAAAGUGGUAGGUCUCCGAAUCCCAAAUGCUCCUUUAAAAAAAUGUGGUGUCUCUUUAAGAGCCAUUUGGUGCAUUUCAUAGCCUGAUUCAUGUCACCAGCUGCCUCUGAUUUCAGUGAGAAAUGCAGAAUUUAUAGGGAACUGUAAAAUGGGGACAGGUUUCUAGUUUUCUAAAUUGAGGUUUAACUGGCAAACUUCUGAAGACUCAAGAAACCACAAGCGAGGCUGUGAGGAACUGUUUUCUUUUCCGGUCAGGAAAAAAAAUAUAAACACACAAACACAUUAUCUAACUCUCAAAGUCUUGGGAGAAAGAAGUCACUGCUCUUUGCGGAGUAGCAAAAAGGAAGAAUCAGUCUUGUGGGCAGGAGGAGGAGGAGGAGGAUCACAUUGGCCAGUAGGCAGCACCCUGUGCUGGCAGAAAGAGAAAUCUGAGCCUCAGCCGCGCCAGGAACAGGCUUUGCACAAACUAUCUGGUUUCAAGUUGCGAGUCUCCGGAGUCCCUGAAAAGGUGCCCCGGGAACAGGACUCCCUUUGCAGGGCCCCGAGGAUUGAUGAGAAUCCCCCAUCCCCAACCACCCAGAGGAUAAGCAGGUGUGGAAAUGAUGGCUUAGCAAGAUUAUAUGACUGGCCCAGGCAUCCAGAUAACCACCAGCACUCCCCGAGGCCAUUGCCACUUCAAGCCAGCUGUUAGAAUGUGUGCUAACCCUGUCCCCACUCAUUCCUUCCAGCACCUUGUUCCGGUCAGUGGUGGCAUUCUAACUCCACUUUCCAAUAAAGAAACUACCCAGAGAAGGUGGUCAUACACCUAGGAAGGGAGGAAGGAAUCUAUCUCUCGUGGGUUCUAUGACACCACAUCUCAGUAACAUAUCAUAGUGCACGUGGCGUUUGCAAACCACGCACAUCCACUGACAGAGAAAUUCAGUUUUGAACCAUUUCAAGAGCUUUAGACACUGAUCCAGACUUCAGCUGUGAUCUGUGUUUUCUGACCAAACUGCUGUGCUUCUUUCUGAUCCUUGUUCUCUGUCUCCUUGUUCUCUGACUGCAAGCUGUAACAAGGCACGAGUGUGAGGGCUGCUUUUCAGUCAGGCAGCAGGCUACCUGCCACUUGAAUCAAGGUGCCAAACACAUUCCCCACCCUGCGAUAGCUCUCCUUGACAUACUUUUGGGGAGCAAAGAUUUGACAUUUACUGUCAUCCCUGUCCAUCUUUCCUCCAAGUUCUCCAUUUCAGCUCUCCUGAGUGCCAGCCCUGUGUGAUUGGCAUGUUUGUGAGGCUCUGGCUGAUAAUGUAGUAAGAGUGUGUGUGAUGAGGAGGAAGGUCUGAACGCAGGCAUUGCCUGAGAGAAACGUUCCCUGUUGCAGGCAGGACAAGAAAGAAAAGCCUGUAAAAUCUCCAUUAAGUAGACUGUCAGGCUCUUUAGACAUCAAAUAGCCCUCACAAAACAACAUUUUAAUGAUUUAAGUGUAAAUGAAUCAGAAACACAUGGGCUGCAUUGCUUUUGGAAUACACAGGGUUUUCAAACCAAAGGAGAAAGAACUUGGCAAGAUGUACCCAGUGCUCAGUGGCCUUGCCCAAGGAAGGAGUCCGGCAAUUCUCCCUGCAGUUGAGUCCACCCUCUCUGGAGUUAGUGUAUGUUAAAGAAAGACGUUCAUUCUGGAUCUGGGCACAGAGGGAAGGGUUUACAAAGGAAAGCCUUACGCUGCCCCUUGUAAAGUGUCACAGAGAGCAAUUAGGUCUCUGGGAAUAGCUUCCUGCUCUCGCUUUUUAAAGACUGCCAAUGAUCAAUGGGAGACAUUUGAAGGAUAUUCUGAGCUAACAUUCUGGCAAUUUGCAGCAGAUCUGGUAGAUGCCUUCCUUAGGAGUCAGCCAAGGCUCGGCUGGAGUUGCUGGAAUGCAUACAGCCACUGAGGUGCAAUGGAGGCUCUGGUGACUUCUGCAGCUGCCCCCUGGCCUGCACUAUGUUUUUGAGGUGCCAUUGGAAGCCGGAAGAGACCCUCAGAUCUACUGGGGCUGGAGCUACAGGUAGCCAUGGAUUGCCCCACGUGGAUUCUGGGACUGAAUUCCAGUUCUCUACGAAAGCAGUAAGUGCUCUCGAUUGUCAAUUAUGUUCCGGCCUGGCACCUUCUGGCAAACUGUCUGAAGGAUGUACCUAUAACUACCUCAUUUCUGGAUCCCACGAGGAGACGUUUGUAAUGCUUCACACAUUCUGUAGUUCUUCGCAGUUCUUCACAGCCUGUAUACUGUCAUCUCACUAAAAGAAUGUCUGCAUGAAUACUGUUGGGGGAAAAUAACGACUUGAACACUUUAGAAAGCCCUUCUUGGACCCAGGUAAAGAUCACUAUUGAAAUGUCCUUAACAGGGUUUCACGAUCCUCACUUUUAUUGGCUCUGGAUAUUUAAACAGUUGUUAGUAUCAUUGUGCUCUAUGCUCUCUGGCCCACAUCAGUACUUGAAAUGCACUCUGAAACUCUUUAGGAAUGUGAGGAACAUCCUUAAGCAUUCUCCACAAACCCAACAUCUCUUCAGAAUAUAUACUGAAGACCUCAAGAACUUUCUGUGGCAUGUGUCUUCCUGUUGGCCUCCACUCCAGGUCUUAGCGGUGGGUGGCAUUCAUGAUAAAAUGUCUCCAUGAAUGAACCAUGUCUUUGCUGUUGCUGUGAUUAAAAUCUUCACUGUGAAGUCUGGACCCUUUUGAGGGUCUGAACUGGCUUCUCUCUAGACUCUCACAUUCUAAUACGGUGUCUCUCAACCUUCCGAAUGCUGUGACACGUUAAUACGGUCUACCAUAUUCCAGUGAUUUCCCCCAAACCACAACAUCACUUUCAUUGCUACUUCAUAACUCUAAUUUUGUCACUGUUAGGAAUUAUAAUGUGAUAUCUGUGUUUCCUGAUGGUCUCAGAUGACCCCUGUUACAGGACCAUGUGACCCCAAAGGGGGUUGCAAUCUUUAGGUUGCUUUAGAAAGACCCACUUGGACACAGGUAAAGAUAAUUUCUGAAAUGUCCUUAGCAGAUUUAAAUGAUUCUCACCGCUCUAAUCCACCUACUAUUCCCACUGGCAAUCCUUUUUAAAUAUAUAUCGGGAAGUAGUUAUUGAUAAGAAUUGGAGACGUGGGCCUGAGGCCCAACAUAUCUGGUUGGGAAUCUAGAGUCUAGCAUUUCUUAGAUGCUUGGCCUUAAGGAAGAGUCCUCCCCUCACUGAACCUCAGUUCUUACCUCAUGUCACUGAGCCAGCUGAGGAAACUGUCAUCGAACCCAGGUCCUGGCUUAUCCCUUAAAUAUUGUUAUUAUACUACUUGUUAUCUCUGUCACAAUGAAAUGUACGUGGCUUUUCACAAGUUACAUUUUAUCUUUAAAUUACGCUGUUUUCCACAUAUGUGGAUUAUGAUAGAAUUCAGCGCUAAUACUUGAUAAUAAUUGUAGGACAUGAUAAUAAUUCAAGGGGCGAACUGUAACUUAGACUUGGACCUCAUCAUAAAAACCUAUACAAGUUUUCUUUAUUCUGACGCUCCAGAAAUGCCCCCAACCUUUGACAGCUGACUCCCAGGUGCCUUUUGGUCCUCCUGUCUCUUCUGCCAAAAGCCCUGAGACUAAGUAGAUGAAGUCCUCUUUAGAACUGUGACAAGAGACUCAGGACCUCAGCCCCUUCUGGUUUAGUGGGUGUUUUUGACUUAUGAAACGGUGUGUGCUUCAGAUCACUAGACGGUCUGCAGGGGCCCUCCCAACUGAUACAAUCCUUGUCAGGGCAUGCUUAUGUGAGGCAAGAGAUGCCACCGAGGGAACAGGGAAAGGCUGACGGCAUCUCUUUUCUCAGAUGCCCUGUGGACAUCACUUGUUGUGGGGCAGAGACCGGGGCCUGAAGGGUGGCCACAGUCCUUGUCCUUCACAAUAAUCAGAGCAUUUUAUGUAGCUUGCCUAGGUUCGUUUCUUAAAUCUGCACUAAGGGAGUUCUGUUACUCCCCAGCCUACCGUUUGGCACCACGUACAGGUGGCCGAUGCUUGUUGGUGUCAUAGAAGUGUUACAGGAUUCCACACAGAACUGUAAUCAGAGCAUUUUAUACCAAACACCAAUUGAAAAACCAAUUACACCAAAAUAACUUCUUUACACCAACUUAGAGUUUGGAACAGAUAUUAUUUAUAAAGUAGGGUUUGUUCCUGAGUAUGUUUUGGUCUUCAGUUAAAUUCUUUUUAAACUCAGGCUCCAUGGUACAAUGGCUCCGGAAUUGGUAAUAAUAAAACAUUAGUUACACUGGUGGGUAAUGGCUUUAUUUAAAAUAAGAUGAAAUGUUAACUCAGUGUCUCCCAGGACUCUGUAAAUGUCUUUAAGCAGCUAUCCAGAGGCCUCAGCAGUCCUAGUACUCAUUAGAUGGGUAGCUGAGACACAUUGACCAAUUUACGUUUUGUGUCGGAGUUUCCCCUUGUUCUUAUGUUUGAGCCUCACAAUUCCUCUGGGGAUCUUUCCUAUAGCUCCUUUUACUGGCAGAGGAACUGAGAAUCAAAGACAUUUGUUUGCUUUAAAUCCAAGCCUUCAUAGGAAAUAACAAAGCCCAGGAAGCUAUGAAGCAACCCAGGGUUCAGGGCAAGGGUCUGCUGCCAGACAUUAUACCGUGUGGGCUCCAUCACUACAUUGAGUCAGCACACAUGAAUGGGAGUCAGGCUUACUUCAUGGAGAUAGGCUAUGCAAAGUGUUUAGCGUGGGAUUAGGCACUGACACGUAAUGAACUUAGGCAUUCUCCAUCUUCCACUCCACUUUCCACUGGAGCACUUGGGUGUUGACAAACACAGCCACAGGCAGCUUACAAUUUACGCAUUUCUCCAAACCACCCAGGAACACGCUCCUCCUAACCCAGCCUGAAACUGGCUACAUUGUCACUUCCCUCCCAUCUUGUGUGCCCUGGGUGUUGGGAAGUUUUCUCCACUCUCCCUUCCCAUUCCUCUGGCCUGGGAGUCAAUGUUUCAACCCUUUGCCUUGCCCCAGAUCUGGAACCUCUGGGAGUGGCAGGUGGCUGGGUAGGUGGGUGGGCUGUUACAUUGUGUCGGAAAGGAAGAGAAGCGAAAAAUGCUUGCAGUGAGAAGCUACUCAUCCUCCCUGAGGCGUCUUUCCUUCACUUAGAGCCUUUGCUUCUGCCACCCUGGUCAAGCCCCCCUGGAGUAGCCUUUGUCCCGGAUCUGGAUAAGUACUUGUCCUGUGGGCGAGGCAGACUCCACCAUCAGAGAAGCUGGCAGGAACACAAAUUCACGUGUCUUCCACACUAGCCUACAGAAUAAGAGUGCGGAAGCACUUUGUGCUCUUAGGAGUUCUGAGGGCAAUUCUGAUGUGUGUUCAGAUUUGAAAAUCACGCUUUUAAAGAAAGAGUGUGAAAGAAAGCAGAGAGCCUGAACAUUCCACUUUGAAUCCUGCUGAGCACUGGGCUAACCCUUUCUGGAUUUUUCCCAAAGGCUAUAUGCUGGCCCUAGAGACCUGAGCCUGGAGCUGGGGGUACUCACCUUGCUAACUUUUGCUUUGUGGGACAGCAGGUGGUUAAAGAGGCAUCUGGUCUGCUAUUUGCCAAGGGCCGACCAUUCUACACCCACAGUUUCAUUUAAUUUUUAUUUUAACAUUCUUGAAAGAGAAUGUAUCUGUAUAGUUGGAGAUGUCUGGAGUUGUGCUUUGAGAAGAUUAGAGAGAAGGUGGAGGAAGUGGCGCUUCAGAGGACACAGACUCUCCAUUAAGUAGGGGAGAGCUCACUUACUGACUCAUGCUGCAGGGCAAACUAAGGGCUAGAAAGGAGAAAGGGCUUGCCCAAGACCAUGCAGAAAGUCGAUGUCUACCAAUAACUUGCUCUGCCUAUGCCUUAUCAAUAAACAAAUGAUUGCAUUUUAAAACUGUUUUGAAUUUUGUACAUUAAGGUAAAUUUGAGUUUAUAGAAAAGUGGCAACAAUAGCGUCCUCUGACUCUCCUUCUUGCCUUUUCUACCUUACCAUCAUUAAGACCACAGGGGAUUAAGACCUUCAAUCCUGCAUUCUGAGUAAUUGUGGAUUUAUGCUCAGUUAUAAGAAAUAUUACAGAUACUCCUGUGUAGUCUUAGGGAUGUUUUGCCUGACAGGAACAUCUCGUGCAGAACUUAUAUGGUUGUUUAAGCAUUUUCUUUCCCUCUCUCUCUGAUUUUAUAUUCAGGCUCAACCUUAGACCGAUGCUCUCCGCACUCCCCUGAAGAGACACCUGAACUUUUCUGCAAGAAUUUUCUAAGCCCCCAUGGGUGCUGCUAUCCAUUGCACAUGUAGGAGGUGGGAAGCUCAUCCACACAGGGUUGUAGGAACUGACCCUUCUGAGAUUGUCCUUGGAGAGAUCUAGAGCCAAUCUCUAUGUGCUGGAAACACAUCCUGUCUAUACUGCUGAGCCGAGCACAGAAUACUCUUUGUGCUCCCUUGUUUGAUGCUGGAUUCCUCCUUCCAGUAGGUGUUCACUUUAGCAACUAAGGGCAUGGCUGAACGAAUGAACUCCAGGUAGGUGUGUGUCACAGAGCAAUCUUCAUUCAACAGCAGCUUUGUUGCUAGGACACAAGGAUAGCCAGUCUGGCCAGUCAGACACAAAGCCAAGAAGUGUGUGCCUUGCUGAGGGAAAGAGACCCUAAAAGCUGACAUGGGUGGGUACACCAGAGUAAGUCUCUGGAACUGGGGCAAUGGUAACUCUUAAGUUCUGUGAGUCCUGGGGCCCUGUGGCAACCUGUCUUCGCAGCUCUGACUUACUGUGUUCCUGAGUGAGCUGAGAGAAAUUCAAUUCAUGCGUUCCUGGGCAAUUUAUAUGAUUUUCAGCAAAAUGCCACAGUCAUGUAUUAGCCACUGGAUGUCAACGGUAAUGCUUUCUUUGUUCCUUUUGGAACUCAGUCCCCGAUGGGAAGCCAGCUGGUCCAUUACCGGACAAUGAGCAAGAGCAGGGGGCACAGUGUCCGAGGGUGGUGUCUGCCAGAGCACUGCAGUGUCCAGUGAGAAGUGGGAGAGGUCAUGAGCUGCCAGCUCUGCCAAGCAGGCUGGCAGGACCUGGGAGAGGUGCAAACAGCUUGGGGAUUCGAAGGAGCUGUGAGGCUUCUGGUGCAGAGGAGAACAGGGAUCACGAGGUAAACACUAGGCUUGCUUCUUGUUCAGCUUUGGUAAGUUAACUUUCUCCCCUAGGCCUUGUCUACCUCUUCUGCAGAAUGCCUUACUGGAACCCAUGAUCUCUGUGGACCCAGAUAGACUAUUAACUUAUUUUAACGAGACUUCGGUGUCUCACUAUGAAUAUUAUUUGGUGCUGCCUAAAUAAAUGUUUUUCCAAGAAAUA